rnacentral:RNase_P_RNA from 1 species
GAAGCUCGCCAGACUGUCGCUGGUGCAAUCUUGGAAACAAGGCACUGGAGGAACGUCCGGACUGCAUAGGGCAGCGUAGCAGCUAACGGCUGUCCACUGAAAGCCCCGAGCGCAAGCGAGGGGUAUAAGGUGAGGAUCAGAGCAACAGAGACGAGCCGAUUAAGUUCGGGUGAAACGGGCAAUCUCUACGCGCAGCAAUACCAAGUAGGCCAACGUUGAUGGGGCCCCCAGAGUUGGCGGGUAGGUAGCACCGAGCUGUUGGGUGACCAACAGCCCAGAUUAAUGACAGUCACUUCUGCAAGCUCGCAAGGGCGUGCAGUUGCACAGAAUCCGGCUUAUCGGUGGGCUUCACAC